rnacentral:rRNA from 1 species
UACGGAGGGUGCAAGCGUUAAUCGGAAUUAUUGGGCGUAAAGGGCUCGUAGGCGGUUUGUUGCGUCGGCUGUGAAAUCCCGAGGCUCAACCUCGGGUCUGCAGUCGAUACGAGCAAACUAGAGUGUUGCAGGGGAGACUGGAAUUCCUGGUGUAGCGGUGAAAUGCGCAGAUAUCAGGAGGAACACCGGUGGCGAAGGCGGGUCUCUGGGCAACAACUGACGCUGAGGAGCGAAAGCGUGGGGAGCGAACAGG